rnacentral:rRNA from 1 species
UACGAAGGGAGCUAGCGUUGUUCGGAAUUACUGGGCGUAAAGGGCGCGUAGGCGGUUUCGAUAGUCAGGCGUGAAAUCCCCAGGCUCAACCUGGGAAUUGCGCUUGAUACUGCGAGACUUGAGUGAGGGAGAGGAUAGUGGAAUUCCCAGUGUAGAGGUGAAAUUCGUAGAUAUUGGGAAGAACACCAGUGGCGAAGGCGGCUAUCUGGACCUCAACUGACGCUGAGGCGCGAAAGCGUGGGGAGCAAACAGG